GGAGUUUGGACCGUCUCUCAGUUCCAAUGUGGCCGAUCACCCUCUCAGGUCGGCUACCGAUCGUCGACUUGGUGGGCCGUUACCCCGCCGACAAGCUAAUCAGACGCAUCCCCAUCCCUUACCGAUGAAUCUUUGCUCCUCGUUAGAUGCCUGCAAAGGAGAACAUAAGGCAUUAAUCCGACUUUCGCCGGGCUAUUCCUUAGUAAGGGGAAGGUUGGAUACGCGUUACUCACCCGUGCGCCGGUCGCCAUCGGCCUUAGCAAGCUAAGACCAUGCUGCCCUCGACUUGCAUGUGUUAAGCCUGUAGCUAGCGUUCAUCCUGAGCCAUGAUCAAAACUCU
rnacentral:rRNA from 1 species